CACUGCAGGAAGAUAAUUGGGUGGAACCUUUAUUGGCAUAUAUAUGUAUUUUUUUUAAAUUCUCUUCAUCUUCAUUUUAGGUUAACUGUUUGGAUGAUUGUAGUGUUGAUAUCUUUGAUGAUCAAUCGGUGAUUACAUUAUUAAAGGUAAUUGCCGGUCAAAAUCAUGUUUACAACGAUGAUGUUCUUUGAUAUUUAAUAUUACAAAUAAAGGAGAUAAUAGUGUGAAGGAUUUCUAGCAGGAAAUGAGGUUGCUUGUUUCACAUGGGAUUGCUGAAACAAAAAAAUAUGUUAAGAAAUUUGAGUUGAAUAUCUUGUAUUAUAUGAAGAUCAAAUAACUACCGGAAGAACCAAUGAAAUUGUAAUUAUGUAACAAAAAAAUAUGUUAAGAAAUUUCAGUGGAAGCUUGUGAUUUUUUUGCUUUAGCUUCUUAUUUUACAAUUUAUUGUUGCUUCAGCAAAUAGUAAAUUAUAUACCAAUAGAACUAA